GGGCAAUUAGCUCAGUUGGAUAGAGUGUCAGCCUCCGGAGCUGAAGGCCACAGGUUCGAAUCCUGUAUUGCCCGCCA
rnacentral:tRNA from 1 species